GCCUACCUUCCGUGACAUACUAUAAAAUUGGAACGAUACAGAAAAGAUUAGAAUGGCCCUUGCCCAAUGAUGACACGCACAAAUCGAGAAAUGGUCCAAAUGUUG
rnacentral:snRNA from 1 species